rnacentral:rRNA from 1 species
GAUGAACGCUGGCGGCGUGCCUAAUACAUGCAAGUCGAGCGAACAGACGAGGAGCUUGCUCCUCUGACUUUAGCGGCGGACGGGUGAGUAACACGUGUAUAACCUACCUAUAAGACUGGGAUAACUUCGGGAAACCGUAGCUAAUACCGGAUAAUAUAUUGAACCGCAUGGUUCAAUAGUGAAAGACGGUUUUGCUGUCACUUAUAGAUUGAUCCGCGCCGCAUUAGUUAGUUGGUAAGGUAACGGCUUACCAAGGCGACGAUGCGUACCCGACCUGAGAGGGUGAUCGGCCACACUGGAACUGAGACACGGUCCAGACUCCUACGGGAGGCAGCAGUAGGGAAUCUUCCGCAAUGGGCGAAAGCCUGACGGAGCAACGCCGCGUGAGUGAUGAAGGUCUUCGGAUCGUAAAACUCUGUUAUUAGGGAAGAACAAAUGUGUAAGUAACUAUGCACGUCUUGACGGUACCUAAUCAGAAAGCCACGGCUAACUACGUG